rnacentral:rRNA from 1 species
UACGAAGGGGGCUAGCGUUGCUCGGAAUUACUGGGCGUAAAGCGCACGUAGGCGGAUUUGUAAGUCAGGGGUGAAAUCCCGGGGCUCAACCUCGGAACUGCCUUUGAUACUGCAAGUCUUGAGUCCGGAAGAGGUGAGUGGAAUUCCUAGUGUAGAGGUGAAAUUCGUAGAUAUUAGGAAGAACACCAGUGGCGAAGGCGGCUCACUGGUCCGGUACUGACGCUGAGGUGCGAAAGCGUGGGGAGCAAACAGG